UGAUGGAGGGGGAGAAAUACUGGCAACGGUAGCAAAUACCGCAUAAUGUCGCAAGACCAAAGUGGGGGACCUUCGGGCCUCAUGCCAUCAGAUGUGCCCAGAUGGGAUUAGCUAGUAGGUGGGGUAAUGGCUCACCUAGGCGACGAUCCCUAGCUGGUCUGAGAGGAUGACCAGCCACACUGGAACUGAGACACGGUCCAGACUCCUACGGGAGGCAGCAGUGGGGAAUAUUGCACAAUGGGGG
rnacentral:rRNA from 1 species